UAGGGAAUCUUCGGCAAUGGACGAAAGUCUGACCGAGCAACGCCGCGUGAGUGAAGAAGGUUUUCGGAUCGUAAAACUCUGUUGUUAGAGAAGAACAAGGACGUUAGUAACUGAACGUCCCCUGACGGUAUCUAACCAGAAAGCCACGGCUAACUACGUGCCAGCAGCCGCGGUAAUACGUAGGUGGCAAGCGUUGUCCGGAUUUAUUGGGCGUAAAGCGAGCGCAGGCGGUUUCUUAAGUCUGAUGUGAAAGCCCCCGGCUCAACCGGGGAGGGUCAUUGGAAACUGGGAGACUUGAGUGCAGAAGAAGAGAGUGGAAUUCCAUAUGUAGCGGUGAAAUGCGUAGAUAUAUGGAGGAACACCAGUGGCGAAGGCGGCUCUCUGGUCUGUAACUGACGCUGAGGCUCGAAAGCGUGGGGAGCAAACAGG
rnacentral:rRNA from 1 species